AGUGAAUAGAUACCCUGGUAGUCCCAGCUGUAAACGAUGCGCGUUAGGUGUAUCGGUGACCACGAGUCACCGAGGUGCCGAAGGGAAACCGUGAAACGUGCCGCCUGGGAAGUACGGUCGCAAGGCUGAAACUUAAAGGAAUUGGCGGGGGAGCACCACAACAGGUGGAGCCUGCGGUUUAAUCGGACUCAACGCCGGGAAGCUCACCGGAUAAGACAGCUGAAUGAUAGCCGGGUUGAAGACUCUGCUUGACUAGCUGAGAGGAGGUGCAUGGCCGUCGUCAGUUCGUACUGUGAAGCAUCCUGUUAAGUCAGGCAACGAGCGAGACCCACGCCAACAGUUGCCAGCAUGUCCUCCGGGAUGGUGGGGACACUGUUGGGACCGCCUCUGCUAAAGAGGAGGAAGGAAUGGGCAACGGUAGGUCAGCAUGCCCCGAAUUAUCCGGGCUACACGCGGGCUACAAUGGUCAGGACAAUGGGUAUCAACACCGAAAGGUGAAGGCAAUCUCCUAAACCCUGUCCUUAGUUCGGAUUGUGGGU
rnacentral:rRNA from 1 species